UUUGAACAUGAUUUUUUAACGAGCGAAGUAUUUGAUUUCAGCUUGUCUUUGUAUAGAUUUGUAAAUAUAUAAGUUGUCUGGAAGAAAUAAGUCGUCUGGAAGGUUUUCCAACUGGACGACUUACAAAUAAGUCGUCUAGAAGGUUUGGACGACUUAUUAUAAGUCGUCUGGAAGGUUUUUCCAACUGGAUGACUUACACUGGACUUCUAAAUAAAAUACACUGGACGACUUACACUGGACUUCUAAAA